CCUCCCCUCCACCUUUUACCAUACACCUGCGAGACGGCAGCUGGGAUUUACCUCACUCACACGCAGACCUGUUGACUGUGAGUCUGAAGGGAGCCAGUGACCUUCACUAGACUCACAAUUAAGAUACAGACUGCAACCCUUAGAUUUGACUAGAUGAAGUAAAUUCCACUUCGGCUGUAGUAGAUCAUGGUUCGUUGGCACUUAUUCUUGUGAAUGUAGUAAAGAUAACACAGAGCUCACAUUAAAUCAGUGGCAUGCUUUUGCUGUUGUUGAGGUAAUCCAAAAAGGAUUCAAUCCUUCACUUCAUUAAAAAUGAGAAACCAAUUUCAUAGUUACAGCUUAUGGAAAAGAAAGCUGACAUUUAUAAUUAUCAGAGUAACUGUUUCCACGCAAAUGCCUUUUCCAUAUUUGUUCACAAAAAGAUUCUCAGCAGAGUUGAUCUCAUCACUCAUGCAUAGAGAAUGAUGAUGAUUAUGAAAAGCAGCAGGUGUUGGGGAGGAGAAAGCAACUUACUGACACUCCCAAUGUAUUUAUUAAAGAAAGGAUCUGACAAAGAAGAAAAGUAAUCAUUUCUAAAUGGAAAAUCUGAAGUAUCCUUUGUUAACAACUACAUUUUUGAAUAGCAAGAUAGAAAACUCAGAUGAUCAGAUGGCAUAUUUCCAGCUUAAUUAACUUUGGCUUAAAAGUCAUAGAUAGAGUCUUCCCUUAGCAUCAUCCAGAUACACCGCGUGUGCCUCUCUCUGCAUUAUAUCCAUGAUUGGAAUAAGCAGUAUUCUUUAAAAUGGGCAGGGCAGAUGAUUUCACGUAUGUCUUUGUGUUCUUUUGCUUACACUCUUCUUUCUUCCAAGUGAAAAUAAUUCCUUUUUAUUAAAAGCAGAUUUAGAAAUCAAGAAGUCAUA